GACCCGUCUUGAAACACGGACCAAGGAGUCUAACAUAUGCGCGAGCUAAUGGGUGGAAAACCCAUAGGCGAAAUAAAAGUAAAGGCUGUUUCGGACAGCUAAGGUACGAUCCUAGUAUCCGAGCGAUAUUAGGCGCAGUACCGUCCCGUCCCGACUGCAUGUCGGUAGGGCGGAGAUAGAGUGCAUACGUUGGGACCCGAAAGAUGGUGAACUAUGCCUGAGCAGAGCGAAGCCAGAGGAAACUCUGGUGGAGGUUCGUAGCGGUUCUGACGUGCAAAUCGAUCGUCAGACUUGGGUAUAGGGGCGAAAGACUAAUCGAACCAUCUAGUAGCUGGUUCCCCCUGAAGUUUCCCUCAGGAUAGCUGAUACUCGUUAAGAACGAAGUUUUAUCCGGUAAAGCGAAUGAUUAGAGGCAUUGGGGACGAAAUGUUCUCAACCUAUUCUCAAACUUUAAAUGGGUAAGAAGUCGAGCUUGCUCGAUCGAAGCCCGACAUAAGAAUUCGAGUAUCAAGUGGGCCAUUUUUGGUAAGCAGAACUGGCGCUGCGGGAUGAACCGAACGGCGAGAUAAGGCGCCCGAAUAAACGCUCAUAAGAGCCCAGGAAAGGUGUUAGUUGAUAUAGACAGCAGGACGGUGGCCAUGGAAGUUGGAACCCGCUAAGGAGUGUGU
rnacentral:rRNA from 1 species